rnacentral:rRNA from 1 species
AACGAACGCUGGCGGCAGGCUUAACACAUGCAAGUCGAGCGCCCCGCAAGGGGAGCGGCAGACGGGUGAGUACCGCGUGGGAACGUACCUUUUGGUUCGGAACAACUCCGGGAAACUGGAGCUAAUACCGGAUAAGCCCUAACGGGGAAAGAUUUAUCGCCGAAAGAUCGGCCCGCGUCUGAUUAGCUAGUUGGUGAGGUAACGGCUCACCAAGGCGACGAUCAGUAGCUGGCCUGAGAGGAUGAUCAGCCACACUGGGACUGAGACACGGCCCAGACUCCUACGGGAGGCAGCAGUGGGGAAUAUUGGACAAUGGGCGCAAGCCUGAUCCAGCCAUGCCGCGUGAGUGAUGAAGGCCUUAGGGUUGUAAAGCUCUUUUGUCCGGGAAGAUAAUGACUGUACCGGAAGAAUAAGCCCCGGCUAACUUCGUG